rnacentral:rRNA from 1 species
AUGGAAGUAAAUGCUAGUGCAGAUAAGGUUUGCUGUAUAGUAUUUUCAAAGAGGCUGGGAGAUCCAAGCAAGAAUGGGCUUGACGGAUGUUUCAUCAAGUUAACCACUGGACAACAAAUUCUUGCUGCCAUAGGAAGGGAUGGCAACAAUAACAUCUACCCUAUAGCUUUUGGUGUGGUUGACAAGGAAGAUGGAGACAGUUGGACUUGGUUUUGA